rnacentral:rRNA from 1 species
GCGUUGUCCGGAAUCAUUGGGCGUAAAGAGCGUGUAGGCGGCCCGGUAAGUCCGCUGUGAAAGUCCAGGGCUCAACCCUGGGAUGCCGGUGGAUACUGUCGGGCUCGAGUCCGGAAGAGGAGUGUGGAAUUCCUGGUGUAGCGGUGAAAUGCGCAGAUAUCAGGAGGAACACCAAUGGCGAAGGCAGCACUCUGGGACGUGACUGACGCUGAGGCACGAAGGCAAGGGGAGCAAACGGG